rnacentral:tRNA from 1 species
GGGUCGUUAGCUCAGUUGGUAGAGCAGUGGACUCUUAAUCCAUUGGUCGAAGGUUCAAGUCCUUCACGGCCCA